GACGAACCGUGCGAACGCUGUUCGGAAUUACUGGGCGUAAAGCGUGCGCAGGCGGUUCGUUAUGUCCGAUGUGAAAGCCCCGAGCUUAACUUGGGAAUGGCAUUGGAAACUGGCGGGCUGGAGUGCGGCAGAGGGGGGUGGAAUUCCACGUGUAGCAGUGAAAUGCGUAGAGAUGUGGAGGAACACCGAUGGCGAAGGCAGCCCCCUGGGCCGACACUGACGCUCAGGCACGAAAGCGUGGGGAGCAAACAGG
rnacentral:rRNA from 1 species